rnacentral:rRNA from 1 species
CUAAUACCGCAUAUUCUCUUCGGAGCAAAGCAUUUAUGCGCUUUGGGAGCGGCCUGCGUACGAUUAGGUUGUUGGUGAGGUAAAGGCUCACCAAGCCGACGAUCGUUAGCUGGUCUGAGAGGAUGAUCAGCCAGACUGGGACUGAGACACGGCCCAGACUCCUACGGGAGGCAGCAGUAGGGAAUUUUCCACAAUGGACGAAAGUCUGAUGGAGCAACGCCGCGUGCAGGAGGAAGGCCCUCGGGUCGUAAACUGCUUUUAUUUGUGACGAUUUUGACAGUAGCAAAUGAAUAAGGAUCGGCUAACUCCGUGCCAGCAGCCGCGGUCAUACGGGGGAUCCAAGCGUUAUCCGGAAUUACUGGGCGUAAAGAGUUGCGUAGGUGGUUGCUUAAGUUUCUGUUUAAAUACCAAGGCUCAACCUUGGGAAGGGCAGGAAAACUGAGUGACUUGAGCAUAGAAGAGGUAACUGGAAUUUCUAGUGUAGGAGUGAAAUCCGUAGAUAUUAGAAGGAACACCUAUGGCGUAGGCAGGUUACUGGGCUAUUGCUGACACUAAGGCACGAAAGCGUGGGGAGCGAACGGGAUUAGAUACCCCGGUAGUCCACGCUGUAAACGAUGCAUGCUAGCUGUUAUCAGUAUCGACCCUGGUAGUAGCGAAGCUAACGCGUUAAGCAUGCCGCCUGGGGAGUACGAACGCAAGUUUAAAACUCAAAGGAAUUGACGGGGACCCGCACAAGCGGUGGAGCGUGUUGUUUAAUUCGAUGUAAGCGAAGAACCUUACCAGGGUUUGACAUCCUGGGAAUUUCUCCGAAAGGAGAAAGUGCCUUUGGGAAUCCAGUGACAGGUGUUGCAUGGCCGUCGUCGGCUCGUGUCGUGAGAUGUUUGGUUAAGUCCAUCAACGAGCGCAACCCUUAUGGUUAGUUGAAUUUUUCUAGCCAGACUGCCCCGGUAACGGGGAGGAAGGAGGGGAUGAUGUCAGGUCAGUAUUACCCUUACACCCUGGGCUACAAACACGCUACAAUGGCCGGUACAAAGGGCAGCCAACCCGCGAGGGGGAGCAAAUCCCAUCAAAGCCGGUCUCAGUUCGGAUAGCAGGCUGAAAUUCGCCUGCUUGAAGCCGGAAUCACUAGUAACGGUAAGUCAGCACAUUACCGUGAAUACGUUCCCGGGUCUUGUACACACCGCCCGUCAAGCCAUGAAAGUCGCCAAUACCCGAAGUUCAACUUUUUGUUGGCCUAAGGUAGGGGAGAUGAUUGGGGUUAAGUCGUAACAAGGUA